ACAUUUUUACUUAAGCUGUGAAGCUGUGAAUGCAUUUGCAUUCCCAAUUAACAAUUCUUAUGCACAGAUUUUUAAAUGGUGACAAGAAGAAAGUUAAAACUGAUCACCCUUCCACUUCGAUUAGUCCUCUACGCAUUCCUUUUGAUUAUUUUUUAUUUUUGCAUAGUUUGCAUGCUGAUGAGCUGAUGAGAAGUGCGAAUGGAAGGGGCAUUCACGACAACGAUGGCUGUGAACUUUUUAAUUUAAUUAAUAGACGCUGCCACACCAACAAGAACAACAAAGAACGAAAACGAGACAGACGCCCUGGAAAAACAACAAUAUUAACGAGUGAAAAGCCAAGGCAUUGAGUUACACAAAGUUAAGGGGAAGUCGGCAAAAUCAGGCGGAGGUGGAGUAAUCAACUAAGGUGGGCGCAGGUUGGCAUGCCGACGCUCUUAAAACUUAUUAUUAAUUAAGAAAAAUUUUUGCAGGCGGGGGCGUGUGGUAAUUUAUGGAUUUGAAGGAUUUAAGCUGCCCAGUUUUUGGUGGCACACCGCAGAAAUGUCAAACGCUGAACCAUUCCAUUCGCUGUUACACAGAGCAAAACACUAUUCAAUAAAGUAAAAUAUUUAUUGAUUCGAAUUAUAUAGCCUUAUUAGCUUAAAAUCAUAACUUUUUAAUUUGUAUUUACAUUUAGCAUAUGUUUUUCUCUGUGUUUCUUAAGUUGCUGCUCCCGUUUUGCUAUCUUUCCACACAAUUUUCCUCACUACACAAUUAACUUUAAUGACUGCAAAAAGAGCCAUGUACCGAGGCACUUAAGUUGGGAAUUUUUGGUAGGGGACCGCAGACAGCAGACAGUUGAAAUUGUAAAAUUGUUUGUGGCAUUAAGUGCGGUUAAGUGGUUUUCCCAAGGUGUCCUGUCGUCUCCGUUCAAGUUGAUUCUUUUUGACAGAAAUUGAAAUUUACAAGCAGGCUUUCAUACCUCGUCGUCUAUUCGCACAUCAAAGUGAGUUUAAGUCAGUCAGUUGCCAGCAACCGAUUUAUGCUUUUGUCAGCUGCAUUUGAAUCGAAGUUUGGUUGGCAGCGCCCGAGGCACCGAAAAAGGACACUUUCGGAACGAAGCGAGGGUAAUGCGGUGUUAGACAACCAGACAAUCAGACAGGCCCGUCGGCUAAAUAAGAAGGAUUUACCAGGAGGGAGGACCUGGAGGGAGGACCUGGCGACACAACAACUGGCAGAAGGUUCAAAUACCCGACAUCGAAAAGGCGCAAAAUACACACAUUAUCCUUACAUUGUUGUUGAACGUCUGCAGAUACCCUGUAAAGUUGGAAAGCUUACUAGCUAUGGUUUAUAUUACCAGAGCUAAACUUGUAACCAAACUAUAUGAUAGCUUUCUUUUUAGUUCCUUAAAAGGGUAUUUGCUGUUCGACUUGAAGAACAUCCUUGAGGCACAAGAACUUCAUCCAAUUCCUGUCAAUUGAACACGCAACAUUUGGGGUCUGAAAAGGAUAUCCAUUGGCAAAUAAAAUAUUUAAGCCAAACAUUGCGCCAGGACAUGGCCAAAUUGAAGGCUCAAUAAGGCCAACUUUUCUACACUUGCCAACUCCAUCUCCUUUCGCCUGAAAUUUCCCCCAUCCUCGCCACUAAAUCGUUUUGCAAAAAUUGUCAGAGGCCUGUGGCAAACUUAUCCUUUGCCAUAACAAAUAAGAAACGAGGAACAACGAAGCCUUUUUGACAAAAAUCAAUAAAUAUUUGAGGAGCCGGAAGGCAGAGCACAAUCCUCUAGAUUGCAUUUAAUUUAAAACUCAUAAAUACGAAAUGCGCUCUCGCCGGCUUGAUAAUCAUAAUAAAACUGUGAAUAAAUUGCACAAGAUAUUGCUGUGUAGCGAAAAACAA